rnacentral:rRNA from 1 species
UACGUAGGGUGCGAGCGUUAAUCGGAAUUACUGGGCGUAAAGCGUGCGCAGGCGGUUUUGUAAGCCAGAUGUGAAAUCCCCGGGCUUAACCUGGGAAUGGCAUUUGGGACUGCAAGGCUGGAGUUUGGCAGAGGAGACUGGAAUUCCACGUGUAGCGGUGAAAUGCGUAGAGAUGUGGAGGAACACCGAUGGCGAAGGCAGCCUUCUGGCCUAACACUGACGCUGAGGUGCGAAAGCAUGGGGAGCAAACAGG